rnacentral:rRNA from 1 species
AUUGAACGCUGGCGGCAUGCUUUACACAUGCAAGUCGAACGGUAACAGGCCGCAAGGUGCUGACGAGUGGCGAACGGGUGAGUAAUGCAUCGGAACGUGCCCAGUCGUGGGGGAUAACUACUCGAAAGAGUAGCUAAUACCGCAUACGAUCUAUGGAUGAAAGCGGGGGACCGUAAGGCCUCGCGCGAUUGGAGCGGCCGAUGUCAGAUUAGGUAGUUGGUGGGGUAAAGGCUCACCAAGCCAACGAUCUGUAGCUGGUCUGAGAGGACAACCAGCCACACUGGGACUGAGACACGGCCCAGACUCCUACGGGAGGCAGCGGUGGGGAAUUUUGGACAAUGGGCGCAAGCCUGAUCCAGCAAUGCCGCGUGCAGGAAGAAGGCCUUCGGGUUGUAAACUGCUUUUGUACGGAACGAAACGGCUCUGGUUAAUACCCGGGGCUAAUGACGGUACCGUAAGAAUAAGCACCGGCUAACUACGUG